CCUACGGGGUGCAGCAGUAGGGAAUCUUUCACAAUGGGCGAAAGCCUGAUGGAGCAACGCCGCGUGCAGGAUGAAGGCCUUCGGGUUGUAAACUGCUUUUAUAAGCGAGAAAUAUGAUGGUAACUUAUGAAUAAGGAUCGGCUAACUACGUGCCAGCAGCCGCGGUCAUACGUAGGAGCCGAGCAUUAUCCGGAGUAACUGGGUGUAAAGAGUUGCGUAGGUGGCAUAAUAAGUAGCUAGUGAAAUCUGGUGGCUCAACCAUUCAGACUAUUAGCUAAACUGUUAAGCUCGAGACCGUUAGGGGUAACUGGAAUUUCUAGUGUAGGAGUGAAAUCCGUAGAUAUUAGAAGGAACACCAAUAGCGUAGGCAGGUUGCUGGGACGGUUCUGACACUAAGGCACGAAAGCGUAGGGAGCAAACGGGAUUAGAUACCCCAGUAGUC
rnacentral:rRNA from 1 species